GGGCUCAGGACCACUUUCCCGCGUCACAGACCCAGCACCCACCCCGGCUGACGGGCUCUCUCCCCGCAAGGUCCUGGGGACCGUCCCGCCCUGGGUCCCUGUGCCACGCAAGGGUCGCUCCCUCUGGGUAGAGCAUUCCGGUUCCAGGCAUCAGUGCGCCCCAGGGAGGCAGGGGUGUGGCGCUGCUGGAGGAGGAAUUCUCGCUUUCUGGAAAGAGCCGUGUCAUUAAGGAAUUCCCCAGCUGGGCACCAGCUUCCCUUUUACUUCUUGCUCAAGAUCUCCUCUCCUCACCCCAAAGGAUUGGGAAAUCACUGGAGAAUCUGAAGCUUUCUGGAUCAUUGUGGGGGUGGGGGCUGUCAGUCCCCCUCCCCAGAGCCCCAGAUCCUCCUCAGCGGAGCUCCCUCUCUAUGGCCUCACCCUGGGCAGCAGCCAGGAAUUGGGAAAAGUUGCCUUCUCCUUUGUGCUUGCACCACUCACUUCCCCUUUCCGGGUUGAGAUAGGAGGGUCAAGGGUCCCUACAUGGAGCCCCCAACACAAGGGAAAUCCCCUGAAAACAGGGAUGCGUAGACGGCCAAGGGAUGACAGCCAGAGGGGCAGGCGCUCUCAUCCCCUCUGGAUAGAUGAGGAAACCUCCCCAAGAGGCCGGACACUUCCAGAGGCCAGCCUCAGCAGGAAAUGAGCAUCAGAUGCUGGGUGGAGUGUGCUGGCCAGCUGCUGUCCCAGCCGCCCCCCGCCCCCCCCCCCCGGGGAUGAGGAGGGGAGAGCAGGCCAGUUCCACCCGGAGGAGAGGAGUGGACAGCCGGCAGAAGCAGACUGGCAUCUGCCCUCCCCAGCCUAGCCCAGAAGUCAAGUGUGCCAAGGCCCGGCCAGGAGCAGUGGUCAGCUCCUCCCUGGCAACUCUGGGCCCUGAAGCCCAGGACGCCUCCCUUCCUUCUGCUCAGAAAUAACAACUGGUUGGUUUUUUU